rnacentral:misc_RNA from 1 species
AAUGUGAUUCAAGCUUAUCACAUAUUGUAUAUACAAGAGCUCGUUCGUGGUUAAUUCUAAGUUAUGGCAAAAGAAGAAGGAUCGUCGCUCAUUUGGUUUACUAUUACAAAAGAGGAAGAAGGACAGGAAAAGAAAAUAGAAGGUUAGACUUCUAAACACUUGUUUGAAAAAGUCUUUUUUGUGUUUUUGCCAAUAUUCUUUGCUAUGUAUUUGAAGUGUUUAGCCGAAAUAGGCCGCUAUUACUCCGGAUUAAAUCGAAUGAUUUAGCAGGGAUAACAGCUUAUGAACUAAUAGAGCUUAUUUCCUAAAAAACAGUUAAAUAAAACUCGUAAUUAUCGCUAACAUUAGGCCAACCGAGCAUAUAAAAUGCUAGUUCUUGCUUUGUACGGAAAUCGGUUCGAUUGAUCGCGAACGGUCAAUUGAACGCUAAAGCCAUUUGAAUUAAAAGCGAUUUUCAUAAGUCGUAAAAGUUCUUUAGAAGCAACUCGUUAUGACGUCAUAACCCUUUCGAAAAUUGGCCAUGAUCCAAUUUAAGAGCGUUUUUUUUUAUUUUGUUUUUCAAUAAAGAUUUAUACUUUUCGAGUAUACAAGAAGUAGAAAAAGGAGACGAUAUAACAUGCUUAAUCUAGUCGAAAACGAGACCCAGGCUAAAAUUUCGAACAAUUAAUCGAAUAGAUGUUGGUAGAUAUGCUGAUCAAAGGUUUAGAUAAUUAUAACAUUCCGCACUUUUCUACUAGAUUAAAUACUUUUAUAAUGCAAAAGGUCAAUUUUUUUACUAAUCCUGAUUAUGUUGAAGCUUUUUAACUAAAAAUUAAUAAAACUUUCCAGUCAAUUUAAUUUAAAAAGCUAUAAAGCUUAUUGGAUUUAGAGCCGCUCAUUUGAAAAAAAAAGUUUAAUGCUUAGAAUUAAUUACCGCCCUUAUGACACAAAUUCCUGUUGAAUAAUAGAAAAAGUUAGCGAAGACUACUGUUUUUGUUUCGUUAAAAAAAGUGACUCGCUUGUUGUUUUGAAACAAUGAAUAAAUAUAAUUGUUUAAAAACAACGUGGGAGAGGAUAGACGCUUGUAUGAAUCGUAUGAAUGAAUUUUUUUAUGAAUGAUUGUCCGCCUGCCGCAAGAGUGCAUUCUAUUACAAAAGAUAGAAGGUUAUAAAGUAGCCAAUAAACACAAUUGAACUGGAGAGGAAAGGGCGAAAAAAGUACUGUUAUAUGAAUUUUCUUAAAGUAAAACCUAACGAGCUAUCGAAUAGCACUUGAACAAGUUGAUUAUAAACAACUAAACGGUAAGCUUAUAAUAAACGGCCGACAAUAACCAAUCAGAAGGUACGUCACUAAGCUUGAUAGGCUUGGUUUCAUUGUCAACACUUUAAUCGAAUUACCCAUAAGUUCAGAGCGCCAACUCGAUUCCGCUUGAUCACUUGUAAAAAUCUUGACUGACGUUUAUUGACUGUAAUUCAAUUUCGAUCAGUGUGUUUGUAAAAAGCUGACUGUUUGUUUCAGUCUUAGUUACGCUUAACGGUUCGUUGAGUGAAUACUGUUUUCAGUUUUGUUUUACUUUUUCUUGAGAGUGAACUCAUUUUUAGCUAAACAAAUAAAGAUUGACGAAAAAUAAUAAAUCGGAUAUUAUUCAAGAAAUGAUUUCAUUUAAAUUCUCUUCUAUUAUAUUCACUCAAUAAUGGAGACAAAUUUUACAGAAGAACGAAAGAAAAUGGCUGGUGAAGAUGUAUUCCGAACAGAAUGCAAAUAUGAUGAUGAAAAAGAAGAAAAAGUAAUUGAAGAUGCUAAUACAGGCUCGCCUCUGAAAAGUAUUUCUCCUGAACGUCGAUUAUCAGUAGAGUCGACAGGAAGUAAUUCAAGUGCAAGUCGUAUAUCUCAAGUCUACUUGUCGAGGAAACAAACGCCAGUAAAACUCAAUAAUGGUGCUCAAGACUCUGAAUACAGUGCCGAUGAACUUCUACAGGAUUUCUUAUCCAAGAACAGUUUAACAAACGUUUCACCUACGACUGUAAAAAUACUCAUAAAUAAGGCUGUUCAAUGCCUUGUUGGAGAAAAUACAAAACUUACCACAAAAAUUGAAAAACUAGAAGAAGAAAAAGCUAAAAUGCUAUCUGAUAUUCAAGACUCUUCUGGAUCUUUAGAUUCUAAAUUAAGAGAAGAAGAAGAAAAGUGCAAAAAAUUAGUAUUACAGUUAGAAAAUAUAAAAAAUAAAAACGAAAUAUUAAUGAAUGAAAAUAAAAAAAUCAUCUCUGAUAGAGAAGUUGAUGUUGAAAAGUUGAAGAAUGAAUUAUCUACCAUUCAAAGGGAACUGGAAUCAAAAGAUCGGGAUAAUGUGAAAUUGAAGAAAGAUUUGGAUAAUAUGAAAAACGAAUUGACAUCCAAAGAGAGUUCUCUCGCUGCAGCUCAAAGGAAGAUGGAGGAAUUAAAGGAAAAGAAACCGCCUCCAAUUACUACAAAGCAACCUGUAACGCCAGCGUCAUCGAAGAAAAAUUAUAUAGAAUUAGAAAUUCUUCACGAAGUAGACAUGCUAAAAAAUGCAAAAGAAGAUUGGAUAAGAGAAAGGAGAGAUCUUGAAAAAAAAUAUUCUACUCUCAAUCAGGAAGCUGGAGAUUUACAAAGAAAGAUUGAGGAGCAGGCCAAUGAAUUACGCAACGAAAGAAAGCGUCACUCUUUACUAACUCGUCAAUAUAACUCUUUAAUGGAGGAGAAUAAUAGACUGAAGCAGAAACUAGGACUUAAACUUGUUUCGAACAAUCAGCAUAGACAACCAGAAAACGGUCGGUUAUCUGCUAGACAGGACCGCGCUGUUAUGAUUGUACCUCCUCAUAAUGUUCAUAGAAGUAAAACAGAAAUUAUAGGAUUAAAUAACUCCAGACCAAUCGGUUUAGAUGGAGAAAGGAUAUCCGGUAAGAGGUUAGUUGAACGUCCAAGUUCAAGUAAAGCCUCUGUACCAUCAAAUGGUUUUCCCCAAAUACGAUCUAAAUCGAGGGAGAGAAUUGGUUAAAGCAUUUAUCGGAUUAAAAAAUCAGUAUUCAUUAGCAUUUUUUUCUAACUUAUUUAUUUAUUACCUAAAUAGGGAAUUUUCAGUGCCAAAUAUUUAAAGUAUGCAUAUUUUAUUUACACAUUGCUUUUAGAUACAAAUGUAGUUAAGGUAGUAAAGGGGUUGUGUGCAUAUAUUGCAUUUAUGAGCAAUAUUAACAAAAGCAUAUUUGUAAACAUGCAUGUUUUGUACUGUACUGUACUUGAAUUUUAUUAAUGUUUUAUGUUGAUUUAAUAUUUGCUAUAAUCUGUCUACCUUUUCUUGGAAAACAACUGAUAAUUUAUUUGCACUGCUUGUGCGCACACUGUUAAUUGCUGUUCUUUACUGUUAGUCUAACCGGUUUUUUCUUCCGGUUAAAUAUUUUUUGAGCUAUUUUCCCUUUUAGAUAAUGGAGAAAAAAAAUUGAAUUUGUGCCACUGGACAAGAUUCCAUUCAAACUAGCAUUGUAUCUUUAUAUAUAUACUGUAUACAUAUAGUUGGAUACUUUUUUUUUAAUUCUUCUUAGAAGUAAAGAUAGAUAACAAGAAACUAAAUAAUGGAUUUUAACUAUACAAGUUUUUAAAUGACUGAAUAAUUUUUUCACAACAAUUUUUUAAACACUUUCCAAUAACUUCAAUACAUAAAGUUUAUCAUAUGCUAU